GUUUUUGCAUUUGCAAACUUUUUUUUGUUUUCAAAAAUAUUUUUGCGCUUGCAGCCAUUUUUAUCUUUCAGAAAAGGUUUUUGCAUUUGCAAACUUUUUUUUUUUGCUUACAAAAAAUAUAUUUUGCGUUUGUACCACAAAUGUUCCUAGAAAAGUUGUUCCUCAUCUCGCUAUUAUUUUAUUUUUAAUUUGCAAACAGUGAAGUUUUGUGAUUAACUCUGUUUUGUUUACAAUUUAGAAAUUUUGAUCUCAAAACUGUUUUUUUUUUCUUAAAUAUGGUGGCACAAAAAUCCCUCCAUACUUUUGUGGUUUUUGGAGCAAGUGCUUGAGAGGUGAGAACGUUUUUUUUUUCACUUAUUUCAAGCAUAGUUGUUUCCAUUCCCAUGAUUUUGUUUUGUAUCAAAUUUCAUUUACUUUAAAAUAUUUUCUUAAUCAAAUCAAUGAUCUAUUUCUUUAAGUCAAAUGUGCCAUUUUGCCAACUUUGUACAAUCUGAAGUAAAACAGCAACUUAUUGCGUCAGACAAAGUAGAAGAAGGAAACAGAUUAAUGAGAAAAGACGUGCCUGACGCACAGGAAGAGGGAUAAAACACCAAAGUCAUAGUUAAAAAAAUGUUAAAAACCACCAGAUCCUUAUCUUCCAUUCACUAGAAAUGGAAAUCCUGAUCGCUUGCAUUACUUUUCUUUGUGGGUGUUGCGUGACGACUAAUUCUCUUGAAAUGUGUUUUAUUUUUACGCCGCUUUACAUGCAACACCCUCUUCAAAAGUUAUUUUCAGAGUUUCGGCAGACGGUGACAUGGAAGUGUUGCAAGGUGGUGACCCAAUGAUCCCAUCAUCGCCGUCUUCAGAGGAUGUUGCUGAAAUGUUGGCCGAGUUAUCUUGAAUCUCCCGCGCCUCGUCGCAGAGGUGAUCAUACAUAAAAAUGAUCCUUCCUGGUUGAUGGAACAGUUAGUCUGCAGCCCAGACUUUCAGAAUGAACUCCAUUGCAGGUUUUCUCCGUCUGGCUUGCGUCUUGGUGGUUCUGGCUCAAGGCUCGGGGCAGAAGAAGGAACUUUUUGGGCCAGGAUGCAAACCUAAAGAGCUGAUUCUGAUCACCAAAAUAGAGCUUGAAUCCUGUCUGACCAGUUUUGAAGACGUGAAUGGAAAGCACCUUGGCACCUGGUCUCCUGGGUUCCCCGAGCUGGACGUCCACCAAAACGCACCCCUCGAUGGGGCCAAAGUCCAGUGCGGCCUCUCUGUGGUCGCUCAGGGCCUGGAGAAAGUCUCAGAGCAACAGAAACUGCUGUAUCAAAACGAGAACGAGUUAAAAAAGCGGCUCAAAGACACGACGUGGAGGGUCCAGCUGCUCGGGCUGUGUCUGCAAAACGUUCUCGGAGGUGAAUGCUUCCCAAAACCGUCCCUCCCCGAGAUGCCCAAGUACCUGUUUGAGAGGAAGCAGUGGGGACACGCCCUGCUGAAGGCGGCCGAACACUACGUGGGCUGGUUGUACAAUAGAUUUGAAGUUUUAAAGAUUUGGCAGUCAAGGCGGAUGAAACAUAAAGUUCUGAAGGCCAAACUUCACAAAUACAAACAGGAAAGUAAAUAUCUGCUGUGAGUCAGUUCCUCCUGUAUGGAGGGAUUUUUAUGCUGCCAUAUUGCGAGCAAAAGUCACGGUUUUGACAUCCAAAUUUUUGAAAUUUCAAGCAAAAUAUAAAAAUGUUUGUAGUAAAACUUGAUGCAAAAUAUUUUUUCAUUUGAAAAAAUUUUUUUUUGCUUUCAAAAAAUAUUUUCGCGCUUGCAAACUUUUUUUGUUUUCAAAAAUAUUUUUGCGCUAGCAAACUUUUUUCGUUCUCAAAAAUAUUUUUGCGCUUCAAACUUUUUUCGUUUUCAAA
ensembl:lncRNA